AGAGUUUGAUCCUGGCUCAGAAUCAACGCUGGCGGCGCGCCUAACACAUGCAAGUCGAACGAGAAAGUGGAGCAAUCCAUGAGUAAAGUGGCGUACGGGUGAGUAACACGUGGAUCAUCUGCCCUUUAGUGGGGAAUACCGCUGGGAAACCGGCGACAAUACCGCAUAAUCCCGAGAGGGGAAAGCAGCAAUGCGCUGAAGGAGGAGUCCGCGGUCGAUUAGCUAGUUGGUGAGGUAAUGGCUCACCAAGGCUGUGAUCGAUAGCCGGCCUGAGAGGGCACACGGCCACACUGGCACUGAAACACGGGCCAGACUCCUACGGGAGGCAGCAGUGGGGAAUCUUGCACAAUGGGGGAAACCCUGAUGCAGCGACGCCGCGUGAGCGAUGAAGCCCUUCGGGGUGUAAAGCUCUUUCGGCAGGGAAGAUUAUGACGGUACCUGCAGAAGCAGCUGCGGCUAACUACGUGCCAGCAGCCGCGGUAAUACGUAGGCAGCAAGCGUUGUUCGGAGUUACUGGGCGUAAAGGGUGCGUAGGCGGCUCUGUAAGUAUGGUGUGAAAUCUCCCGGCUUAACUGGGAGGGUGCGCUAUAGACUGCGGGGCUCGAGUGUGGGAGAGGAAAGUGGAAUUCCUGGUGUAGCGGUGAAAUGCGUAGAUAUCAGGAGGAACACCGGUGGUGUAAACGGCUUUCUGGACCAUAACUGACGCUGAGGCACGAAAGCGUGGGUAGCAAACAGGAUUAGAUACCCUGGUAGUCCACGCCCUAAACGAUGCACAUUUGGUGUGGGUCAUUCAGUUGAUCCGUGCCGGAGCUAACGCGUUAAAUGUGCCGCCUGGGGAGUACAGUCGCAAGGCUGAAACUCAAAGGAAUUGACGGGGGCCCGCACAAGCGGUGGAGCAUGUGGUUUAAUUCGACGCAACGCGAAGAACCUUACCUGGCUCGAAAUGCUGUGGACCAGCUGGUGAAAGCCGGCCUUCCCGCAAGGGACUGCAGUAUAGGUGCUGCAUGGCU
rnacentral:rRNA from 1 species